UGUCCUGUAAACAAGACUGGCACCAACCUCCAAGAUAUAUAACAAUGUCUGUUUUUGAAUACUUGAUCCCCUUGUCACUAGCUCCCAAGUGCUAGGAUGAAGGGCAGGGUCUCUUUGCUGCUGAAACCUGGUGCCUGAGGUACCUGAGAGGCCUAUCAAUUCGAACACAAGCAGAAGGCAUAGCCUCUUUUCUGCCUGAAGCUACAUAUGAAUGGGUCUUCUGGAAGAGGAGAAGGGGCCUACAGGAAAUUAAGGGAAUUGGAAGGUGAGAGGAAUAAAUAAAAAAUGGGACCAAGGUG